AUUGAACGCUGGCGGCAGGCCUAACACAUGCAAGUCGAACGGUAACAGGAAACAGCUUGCUGUUUCGCUGACGAGUGGCGGACGGGUGAGUAAUGUCUGGGAAACUGCCUGAUGGAGGGGGAUAACUACUGGAAACGGUAGCUAAUACCGCAUAACGUCGCAAGACCAAAGAGGGGGACCUUCGGGCCUCUUGCCAUCGGAUGUGCCCAGAUGGGAUUAGCUAGUAGGUGGGGUAACGGCUCACCUAGGCGACGAUCCCUAGCUGGUCUGAGAGGAUGACAAGCCACACUGGAACUGAGACACGGUCCAGACUCCUACGGGAGGCAGCAGUGGGGAAUAUUGCACAAUGGGCGCAAGCCUGAUGCAGCCAUGCCGCGUGUAUGAAGAAGGCCUUCGGGUUGUAAAGUACUUUCAGCGGGGAGGAAGGGAGUAAAGUUAAUACCUUUGCUCAUUGACGUUACCCGCAGAAGAAGCACCGGCUAACUCCGUG
rnacentral:rRNA from 1 species